rnacentral:rRNA from 1 species
CUACGUGCCAGCAGCCGCGGUAAUACGGAAGGUCCAGGCGUUAUCCGGAUUUAUUGGGUUUAAAGGGAGCGUAGGCUGGAGAUUAAGUGUGUUGUGAAAUGUAGACGCUCAACGUCUGAAUUGCAGCGCAUACUGGUUUCCUUGAGUACGCACAACGUUGGCGGAAUUCGUCGUGUAGCGGUGAAAUGCUUAGAUAUGACGAAGAACUCCGAUUGCGAAGGCAGCUGACGGGAGCGCAACUGACGCUGAAGCUCGAAGGUGCGGGUAUCGAACAGGAUUAGAUACCCUGGUAGUCCGCACAGUAAACGAUGGAUGCCCGCUGUUGGUACCUGGUAUCAGCGGYUAAGCGAAAGCAUUAAGCAUCCCACCUGGGGAGUACGCCGGCAACGGUGAAACUCAAAGGAAUUGACGGGGGCCCGCACAAGCGGAGGAACAUGUGGUUUAAUUCGAUGAUACGCGAGGAACCUUACCCGGGCUUGAAUUGCAGAGGAAGGAUUUAGAGAUA